AUGGCUUCCAGUAGUUCCAUAAAGAAGACCUUUGAAUAUCCUAUUCUCCAGGCGAUGUUUUCUCAAAGCUUAACACACCCUGGAGAAGCUCCUGCUAUGCCCCUUGCUGAGCCAGGUAAGGCUGUUCCUAUACCCCAGCAAGCUGUGCCUGCUGAUCAAACGACACCCACAGCAAGCUUUCAGCAGACAGAUGCCAAUGAUAGAACAGAAAGCAAGGUAACAGUCUCCAACGAAGGCAGCCAAAUAAACACCCUCUGUGUCAAGCCAACUCCUCUCUACCGAAGCCAGCUAGCAACUCCUGGAGAGGGCCACGUGAUGACAUCCACUGGCAAACAAACCUCAUUGGAAGACAGUCCAAUCAAUUCUGGGGUUGCCCAAGACCUCUACUUUGGUCAAAUAUGGUUGACCUUCAAUGCUGACAAGAAUUACCAUGGGCAUCAGAAUAUGGCCCUCAGUGAUGACCAGAAUGUCUACAAAGAUGAGAAGAGAACUAUCAGUGGCUAUCAGCCUUUCUACAGUAGUCAGGACACACCCACCACCGAAGAACUAACCCAUGGGGCUCAGACAACACCCAACAAUAGCAACCAGUCUUUCUACAGUACUCAGAUCACACCCGCCACUGACGACCUAACCCAUGGGGCUCAGACGAAACUCUACAAAAGCAACCAGACUUUCUACAGAAGUCACAUCACACCUGCCACCGAAGACCUAACCCAUUGGGCUCAGACGAAACCCUACAAUAGCAACCAGACUUUCUACAGAAGUCACAUCACACCUGCCACCGAAGACCUAACCCAUGGGGCUCAGACGAAACCCUACAAUAGCAACCAGACUUUCUACAGAAGUCACAUCACACCUGCCACUGAAGACCUAACCCAUGGGAUUCAGAUGACACCCCACAAUAUCAACCAGUCUUUCUACAGUAGUCAGAUCACACCCACCACCGAAGACCUAACCCAUGGGGCUCAGACAACACCCAACAAUAGCAACCAGACUUUCUACAGGAGUCACAUCACACCCGCCACCGAAGACCUAACCCAUGGGGCUCAGACGAAACCCUACAAUAGCAACCAGACUUUCUACAGAAGUCACAUCACACUUGCCACCGAAGACCUAAACCAAGGGGCUCAGACGAAAUCCUACAAUAGCAAACAGACUUUCUACAGAUGGCACAUCACACCUGCCACUGAAGACCUAACUCAUGGGAUUCAGAUGACACCCCACAAUAUCAACCAGUCUUUCUACAGUAGUCAGAUCACACCCACCACCGAAGACCUAACCCAUGGGGCUCAGACAACACCCAACAAUAGCAACCAGUCUUUCUACAAUAGUCAGAUCACACCCGCCACUGAAGACCUAACCCAAGGGGCUCAGACAAAACCCUACAAUAGCAACCAGACUUUCUACAGAAGUCACAUCACACCUGUCACCGUAGACCUAACCCAUGGGGCUCAGACGAAACCCUACAAUAGCAACCAGACUUUCUACAGAAGUCACAUCACACCUGUCACCGUAGACCUAACCCAUGGGGCUCAGACGAAAACCUACAAUAGCAACCAGACUUUCUACAGAAGUCACAUCACUCCUGCCACUGAAGACCUAAACCAUGGGGCUCAGACGACACCCAACAAUAGCAACCAGUCUUUCUACAGUAGUCAGAUCACACCCACCACCGAAGACCUAACCCAUGGGACUCAGACGACACCCAACAAUAGCAACCAGACUUUCUACAGAAGUCACAUCACACCUGCCACCGAAGACCUAACCCAUUGGGCUCAGACGAAACCCUACAAUAGCAACCAGACUUUCUACAGAAGUCACAUCACACCCACCACUGAAGACCUAACCCAUGGGAUUCAGAUGACACCCCACAAUAUCAACCAGUCUUUCUACAGUAGUCAGAUCACACCCACCAACGAAGACCUAACCCAUGGGUCUCAGAUGACACCCAACAAUAGCAACCAGUCUUUCUACAGUAGUCAGAUCACACCCACCACCGAAGACCUAACCCAUGGGGCUCAGACGACACCCAACAAUAGCAACCAGUCUUUCUACAGUAGUCAGAUCACACCCACCACCGAAGACCUGACCCAUGGGGCUCAGACGAAACCCUACAAUAGCAACCAGACUUUCUACAGAAGUCACAUCACACCUGCCACCGAAGACCUAACCCAUUGGGCUCAGACGAAACCCUACAAUAGCAACCAGACUUUCUACAGAAGUCACAUCACACCUGCCACCGAAGACCUAACCCAUGGGGCUCAGACGAAACCCUACAAUAGCAACCAGGCUUUCUACAGAUGUCACAUCACACCUGCCACCAAAAACACAACCCAUGGGGCUCAGACGACACCCUGUAAUAGCAACCAGACUUUCUACAGUAGUCAGAUCACACCUGCCACUGAAGACCUAAACCAUGGGGCUCAGACGACACCCCACAAUAGCAACCAGUCUUUCUACAGUAGUCAGAUCACACCUGCCACUGAAGACCUAAACCAUGGGGCUCAGACGACACCCCACAAUAGCAAC
rnacentral:lncRNA from 1 species